rnacentral:rRNA from 1 species
CUACGGGAGGCAGCAGUGGGGAAUUUUGGACAAUGGGCGCAAGCCUGAUCCAGCCAUGCCGCGUGCGGGAAGAAGGCCUUCGGGUUGUAAACCGCUUUUGUCAGGGAAGAAAAGGGUGUUUCUAAUAAAGACGCCUCAUGACGGUACCUGAAGAAUAAGCACCGGCUAACUACGUGCCAGCAGCCGCGGUAAUACGUAGGGUGCAAGCGUUAAUCGGAAUUACUGGGCGUAAAGCGUGCGCAGGCGGUUAUGCAAGACAGAUGUGAAAUCCCCGGGCUCAACCUGGGAACUGCAUUUGUGACUGCAUAGCUAGAGUACGGUAGAGGGGGAUGGAAUUCCGCGUGUAGCAGUGAAAUGCGUAGAUAUGCGGAGGAACACCGAUGGCGAAGGCAAUCCCCUGGACCUGUACUGACGCUCAUGCACGAAAGCGUGGGGAGCAAACAGGAUUAGAUACCCGGGUAGUCC